rnacentral:rRNA from 1 species
ACUGGGCGUAAAGAGCUCGUAGGUGGUUUGUCGCGUUGUUCGUGAAAUCUCACGGCUUAACUGUGAGCGUGCGGGCGAUACGGGCAGACUUGAGUACUGCAGGGGAGACUGGAAUUCCUGGUGUAGCGGUGGAACGCGCAGAUAUCAGGAGGAACACCGGUGGCGAAGGCGGGUCUCUGGGCAGUAACUGACGCUGAGGAGCGAAAGCGUGGGGAGCGAACAGGAUUAGAUACCCUGGUAGUCCACGCCGUAAACGGUGGGUACUAGGUGUGGGUUUCCUUCCUUGGGAUCCGUGCCGUAGCUAACGCAUUAAGUACCCCGCCUGGGGAGUACGGCCGCAAGGCUAAAACUCAAAGAAAUUGACGGGGGCCCGCACAAGCGGCGGAGCAUGUGGAUUAAUUCGAUGCAACGCGAAGAAUCUUACCUGGGUUUGACAUGCACAGGACGCCGGCAGAGAUGUCGGUUCCCUUGUGGCCUGUGUGCAGGUGGUGCAUGGCUGUCGUCAGCUCGUGUCGUGAGAUGUUGGGUUAAGUCCCGCAACGAGCGCAACCCUUGUCUCAUGUUGCCAGCGGGUAAUGCCGGGGACUCGUGAGAGACUGCCGGGGUCAACUCGGAGGAAGGUGGGGGUGACGUCAAGUCAUCAUGCCCCUUAUGUCCAGGGCUUCACACAUGCUACAAUGGCCGGUACAAAGGGCUGCGAUGCCGCGAGGUUAAGCGAAUCCUUUUAAAGCCGGUCUCAGUUCGGAUCGGGGUCUGCAACUCGACCCCGUGAAGUCGGAGUCGCUAGUAAUCGCAGAUCAGCAACGCUGCGGU